rnacentral:lncRNA from 1 species
UACAUAGAUUUAUGCAAAAGUUUUGUAUUUGCAUGUUUCGUUUUUUAGAUGCAUAAUGUAUGGAACACAAUUCAGUCAUCAAAAUAUUUGCCCUUGUUUUUUUACAAUUUUUUGCCAUCCCUCGGAUAAAUUUAGAAUUCCGUUGAAAAAGUUUUUCCGUAUCUCAGUCACAUCUCGAAAGUACUAUUCAGUUAAAAAGUACUGUAUCGGUUGGAAUAAGUGAUAAUUCGAAGGCGCCAAGUUGGACGAAUACGUCGCGUGCGGAAAAGCUUUCCAGCCCAAGUCCGACAAGUCCGAAAUUUUGCUAAACACGGAAAGCAUAUGUAGCUUUUCGUUACUCAUCGCAUUCACUAUUGUUUUUCGAAGUUAUGUUCGUUAAAUCAUAGGCUCUACAAACAUCGAUGCCAAUUCUUCAAAAACAAGCGAGAAUGUAUUUGAAAUAAGUUUAAAUAAUACUAGAGCGUUGAAAAAAGACUGAAACAUACAUCUAAUAUUUUAUUCGACAAUUCACUAUCAUCGGACGAUCGCACGCGCGGUUUUCAUCGGGUUAACUUGCCCUGCACCUCAAAAUACUUAUUAUUAUAUUACAAUCGCGAUGUACCUUCUCAUUCAAAAACUUCGCAUUGUGCAAUUCUGUUCUUCCGGCCGUAAAAAAAAAACGUAAACUGCGAGUUACGUUGAAUGCGGUGUGCCGAAACCGCAGGGGAUCUUUUUGCAUUAUUUAUCCGCGCGCCGGCAAGUCGGCUGCCUUUGGCAAAACGACCCAGAUCCGUACGUAUUACUUUGCUGGCACUCGAUUAAAUUUUCAACCUCGCAACGUGCGCAAGCAAUGGGAACAGGAGUAUCUGCUUGACAGAUCUUCUGAUAUAUCCGACGUGAUAUCCCCGCUAGAAAUAUAUCGCGUACGCCUCGCUCGGCUGACUUUAAAGAUAGACGGUUAUUUAUAGAAAAUGUCACCGAGAUAUAAAUAGAUCUUCCGCAAGAUCUCAAGAUAUUCUAGCACGUCGACGAGAGUCCCAGUACCCCGAAUGUGCGGUCAAAUUUUGCUUUGCGCGCUUCGGUCAGUGACAAAAGUGUUACUUUUAUGUUUUCUUUACAUUUUGUUACUCUGCAAUGAGUUAUGUAAAUAGAUCUUCCACAAGGUAUCUCUAAUUUGAAAAAAAUAUACUCUCUAUGAUUAUGUUGCAGAAUUGCGUUGUUCCUUUUUCGUUGAUAUUGCCUUAUAAGGGUCAAUAAUUAUCGAUAGCCUGAAGGAUAAAAUUGUAUCAUGAUCAAUCCUGCUGUUAUAUCCGCUGAGAUUUUCAUCGUGGAGAAAACAUGAGAAUCUACUGAUUCUCGCUUAUUUUUUUACAACUGCGUAACUGUACUUGGAUUGUAAAAAUUGAAGUAUUGGUGUCAAUGGGUCCCUUAGAAUAAUAAUCCUAUUCAGACUAACAGUAACUCAGGUUUAAGGCCUAGUAACACGAUGCAAGAUUCAACACGAUGUAACACGAUGAUACAAGCUUGCUGCCUUGUAUGCUGCCCAUAGAGGUAUAAGAAUAGAGCGCGUAAACGAGCUGAAAAAGCGAUAUAGCAAUAGAAAGAGAAAGCUGCAAAAAGGCCCCUUCUGCCUUUGCCUUUGCGCAUGUGCAGCUAUAAAUUUCUAAACUACAGCAAAAUGUUUGCUCUUGCAGCUAAUGAAUUAGGAACCUUAUCUAAUAAAAUAGGGAUCAUAGCUAAAAUUUAGCUGUCCAUAUAUUACGACUGAAUCUAGUUACCACACGCAGUUUUUAGCUGUGGCAGCUACUUUUUUCUUUCCGUGCAUAUGACUCGCGCACUCUAUUCUUAUUCUCUAUGAUGCUGCCUUGCACGUUGCUGUGCUUACUUUAAUGCAUGCUGCGCGCUGUGCAUUGAACACUGCAUGAUGGCAUGCGUGGAUUCCGUGUGCAUUAUUUCAUGCUUGGUUCCUUGCAUCCACCAAUCAGUGCAUCGGAGAUAACGACUAAAUAAAUAAAAAAAACCAAAAACAAUUGAACGAAAUGCGCCCAGUCUCUUGAUCACAUUCACGUCAUUGUCUUCGUCAUAUUUUGUCACAUUUUGAAAUCUAGCCAAGUCUUUUUCCAUUAAAAAAUUUUGUACUUAUAUUUUAAAAAUGUCUUUUAUAAGAUAAGUUAAUAAGAUAAGUUUUGUAUGGAUAUAUAUUUUUCUCGCUUUUUUCUUUUUUAAAUUCAAAGAAAAUAUUUUUCUCAGAAGGUAGAAGCAGGAUAGAUACUGGUUACUGGUUGAUGGAAGAUAAGUAAAAAGUACUGGGACAAGUGAUCUUAUUGUCUUAUUAUUGUGAGCCGUUGGCCUCGAGUCUUUUUCUUUCCACAUGCAAUGAGCGAAUCCUACGUGCUCGGAACAGGUAGACAAACGUGCCGUAAACGUAUAUAAGGCACAUCCAUGCACGAGAGCAUCCUCUUUUCAGUUUGGCCGUCCUGGUGAUUAGACGUAUUGCAAGAAGUCUAAUGUUAAUCUCCAAAAGUUACAAAUUUGCUGCAGAAUUUCUACAAAGUGAAAAUGGCUAUUUUCUUUAUGGGACUCGAUGGUUCAAGCAGAUGGAAGCUCUGUAUACCGAUUGCUAUACUAGUUCUAUUAUGACCAGAACUAAAGUGUUCACUGGCCUUGGCGUCAAUUUGUAUCAUGCAUCUCCUAAGACAGGCUUGAUCCAACCCGCGGCUGCAGACCGCAGGCGACCCAGGACGACUAUGAAUGCGGCCCAACACAAAAUCGUAAACUUACUUAAACAUUAUGAAAUUUUUUGCGAUCUUUUUUUGUAACUCGAUUGCAGAUGUUACGGGAUGUAACGUUAAUAUUUUAGUUUUUGGAGUCAAUGCAUUUAAGCAAUUACCCCAGGGACUCAAGUCGUGUGCGUUUUGCGAUUUAAGGAUAAUUUAAAUGGUCGGAAAAGGAAUGCGAGAGUCGGAGAUUCAAUUACUAAUUGGAUAGUUAAUUACUAAGAUAUUGGAUUUAUUCGAGUUGAUUAAUCGACAAUGUUGAAUGAAUUUAGAGUGAGGGAGAAGUAAAUAUGAACCUUGAGUUGUGAUCGCGUUGAUGCCGUUUUGGAGAUCUCGUUGCUGUACUUCUUUCUAACCGCGAUAUGAGUGAAGAGAGCCGGUGGAGAACCAGGAAAAGAAGAAAAGAAAAGAAAGCCAGGAACCUUGGUUGGUUCCUUUUAUACCAAAAUCGUGAGCAACAGAAUUUUCUUUAGCCAAUGGGAGAUCUCGAAAACGGCUGCAACAGGCAUAGACAGAGAGGGAGGAUCCCGCGCAAAUCCCCGCUCUUGGCCUACAGAAUCUUCGCGAAAGUUCUAACGAUUCUUAUACGUAUAUAUACUUAUGGUAUUUUAUAUAUGAUUUUAUCUUGUUUUUAAACAACGGGAAUACAAAUAUUGGUAUCGUUAAUCUGUGCGUUAACAUUAUGCAAUAGACAUAUCGUUUUAAACCGAACCUUGGAGAGUGACUAUAUCGAUAUAUGAGAAAACAAUUCAAGAGAUAUGGUCACGCUUCGCCUCCAGGACGCGCGACCUGCUUAAUAUUUACUUAUAAUUAAAAUGCUAUAAAAAUAUAUCUCGUGCGUAAGUCUAAGUAAGUGUAAGUUAGGCGCUAUGUCGGGGAAGAUGACUAAGCGUGCAACCUUGGUCCUUUGAGAGGUUGUUAGGAAAGGAAUUUUGGGAUGGAUCAUAAAAGAGAAAGUUUGUCUGAAGGCAGUGACAUUGGCAUAUGACGGUUAAAUGAAAAAAAGGAAUCCGGAAGAAAAAGGAGACUUGUCGGGACGUAACACAGAUAUUGAUUGCAUUAGUUUCUCAAAUACAAUGUCAAAUAUAUCCCACUAGUUUUAUGUUGCCCUCUUUUCUUUUACUUUUAUAAUAAAAAAUAUCAAAAAAUUAAUGAAGUUUUAGAUAUGUACAUUUCGCCCCAUAAUUAAGAUUAUUAUGUGAGGACUUUUUUGCUUAUCUGUGGUGGCGGAUAUCACGAAAAUUAUGCACCUGACCCGUUUUUUUGCUCAUCUGCUAUCGUUGGAGUUUGUGUAUUUUAUGUGUGGCCCAAGACAAUUCUUCUUCUUCCAAUGUGGCCCAGGGAAGCCAAAAGGUCGGACACCCUGCCCUAAGAGAUACAUAGUUCGUGCGCCUUGCCUUAGCAGUACGUGGAUCUAUGGAGUUAAGAAAUAUCUUUGACCAUUUCGAGUGACUGGCAGCUGUUUGUUACAUCGCUCAAUACGUAAGAUAUUAUUUAAAUUAUCUUGCAUGAGUUAUCUCUAAUUUUAAAAAAAUCUCCAUGUGUGUCUUUCCACGCGUUGCAUGAAACACAUUCCGCACAAUGAUGACACCGACGAGCGACUUCACAUUUAACGUUUGUAUUCCGUGGCACAAAUUCUGGAAGUAAUGGCCAAACUUUUGACUGAUAUUGAGGAAUAGGAAACUGGCGAACGAGCAACUUCGAGGGAUUUUGGCAAACGUCGCGCAUCAGAUUAUUAGUAUGAACGUCUCGCGGUUUAUUAGAUAACAGCAUCGGGGAGUUCGAAACAUGUUACUGAGAGAAGCUAAUCGACGUUGGGACUGCUAUACGGUGCUGAUGCGGAAGUCUUGUUUGUGAAAAUAAACGAUGAUAGGGCGGAAACAGAAAUGUACUUAUAAUUGAAUCGCGUACUUGCUACGUACAUAUUCAUCGUUCGUCAAUAAUUAAAUUUUAAGAGAGUCUGAUUCGUCAUAUGGAAUCCGGGUCAAAAGUGAAAAUCACGAGUCAGACUCGUGGUAGCGAUUUGGCCCGCGCGAUGCCAAACUAAUUCGUACGGCAAGGGGUUAAUUAUAUUAUACUUUAUUAAUUAUAUACGGCGAAGUGGCAUUUACACGUUUACCGAGAAGUAUCGGACUAUCUAAAAACGUGACAAACGCAUCAUCUUUAUGUAGAAACCGUACUGUGCAUCAGCGCUAUCGAGAAAGUUAGGAAAAAUUGUGAGAGAUACGAAUGAGAUAAAUUCUUGCUAGAUUGUAAACCAAGUUCCUACUUCUUGGCUGUAUGCUAAAGAUCAAUAAAUUUAUCUAUCUAUCUA